UACGGAAGGCAGCAGUGGGGAAUAUUGCACAAUGGGCGCAAGCCUGAUGCAGCCAUGCCGCGUGUAUGAAGAAGGCCUUCGGGUUGUAAAGUACUUUCAGCGGGGAGGAAGGCGAUGUGGUUAAUAACCGCGUCGAUUGACGUUACCCGCAGAAGAAGCACCGGCUAACUCCGUGCCAGCAGCCGCGGUAAUACGGAGGGUGCAAGCGUUAAUCGGAAUUACUGGGCGUAAAGCGCACGCAGGCGGUCUGUUAAGUCAGAUGUGAAAUCCCCGGGCUUAACCUGGGAACUGCAUUUUGAACUGGCAGGCUUGAGUCUCGUAGAGGGGGUAGAAUUCCAGGUGUAGCGGUGAAAUGCGUAGAGAUCUGGAGGAAUACCGGUGGCGAAGGCGGCCCCUGGGACGAGACUGACGCUCAGGUGCGAAAGCGUGGGGAGCAAACGAGGAUUAGGAUACC
rnacentral:rRNA from 1 species